CAAAACAAACGUAUUUAUCACAGUGAUAAAUACAUUAUUAACCAAAUAUUUCUGUAACUGGUAUCAUAUCAAUUAGGAAAUUAUCCUGUAGGUACAUUCAAUUUCAUUUUAUAUCACAGUAAAUAUUUAAAUAAUAUGUAAAAAUGUCUGUUGUUGUUAUAGUACAUCUAUGGCAUUGUUACGGCCGUACACGGCUUAUGUUAUCACUAACCCCUGACCUUAAAGAUAAUAUGACCCCUAAAGUCAUCUCCAUCUUAAAACAAACAGUCAACCAGUUUCAGUUAGAUAGUAUGGAGGUAUUUUUUAUAUCAUUUUAAAUCGUAUUUAGAGAAUGAAAGUAAAAUGUAUAACGUGAUGGCGUCGCGAAUUUAUAUUGCCAAAGAACGGCGCAAACAUUAAUUGUGUAUUUUUAAAGUUACUGGAAAUGUAUGUGUUUAGUCACUGCGGGGACAAUUAAGCUUCUGGUUGAAUUUUGAUGAGUGAGAUGUGAGUCACAUUUAUUUGUAACAAUUUCUUUGAUUUUGUCUCAUUGUGGACCAAGUAAAGGUAAUCCAUCUAUGAGAAAAUAUUACAGUUUUUUUCCUAUUUUGAUUCAGCAAUGAAAUUUUUAUGACAAAUAAAAUUCAAAUAAAAGACGUUUCAUAUCAUUUACGUGCAAUAUGGUAUAAACUUACACGAAAUUUUUGAUUAAGUACGACGUUGAAUCCAAAAAAGCUACUCGAUUUCAUGUUACCUUUCCAGUAGACUUGAGCAAUUUAAAUUUGAGCAAUAUUUUUUAAGUCCCUAGGUAUUAUACCUACGUAUCUGAUACAUUAAUUAUAAUUUUGUUUUAUAGUAGGUACAUCAUGACGUGUCGCUCAUAAGCUAUUACGAAGUCAAUUAUAAACGAGAGACGGUUAAUUUAACAGGGGUCGAAUCACUUAACCUUACAAACGUACCCGCAACAAGUGAAUGAAAAAUGUGAGGGGGCAGCCAUUGCUAUAGAAUUAUCUUAAGAAAUAGAGCAAUUAACCUGAUAAUUUAUGAAAAAGCGAAAAAAAAACGCCAUGGUUUAGGUAAUUGAACUGUGUGGGUCAAUAACUGUAGAAAAUUGAAGUGAAAAUCUACAGGUGUCGCAUCUUCAAUCCAUCAGAAAGUACCUACUAGGAUGACAUCAACCGUACUACCCUGUUACUAAGUACUAGUGCCGCAGGAGUACUAUUGACCUCCUGCUGCUCAAGUGCUUAUCAAUGGGAAUAAGUACUAACAACGCACAUUCGGCCACAUCUUCGAAAUUCUGAGUCGGAAAGCUUACUCUACGCAAGUUAUUUCAAACGUCUUUAGGUAAAUAAGCUCCAAAGUAGGUAAUGUAAUUAGACAAUACCUAUAUCUUACAAUUACGUAUUAUACCUACCAUUUAAAAAAGUACUUUGAGCAGUGCUUUGAUUUUAUUAAAUUAUAUAUUUUCAAAAUGGAUCAAGAAUGGGAUUGAGAAGAUAUUCAUCAUGUAAUAUGAGCAGUAGUGAAGAAGCGAAAGUUGUCUUUCGCGUACUUUGCUAACCUCCAUUUUAGUUUUAACUGGCUACAAUAAUAUAAAAUGAUAGGCACGUGUGAAACUGUAAUUUGUUUCAAAUUAAGUCGGCACACUAUUGCUAUAGAUAACCUUCUUAUUUGUAGAGUUAGAAGGGCGGUUUUCUAAUCAAUCCAAAUCUGUAAUUAAAGAAAAACAACAUCCCAUUUUUCAUACAAAAAAAAUAUGAGUUCCUUAUAUGGAACACCCUGUAUAUUAUUACAUUAUAUGACCGCUUAUUAAAUCCUUACAAAAGUUUUGAAUGCACCAUUACACCAUAGCCAAAAUACUUCAAGUAAUCAAGAUUUUUGAAUUAUUUUAAUUUCGAUCUAGUUAUCCAUAACGAUGAUAAAAUGACGUUGUUUCUUGUAAAGUCUCAGACAUCUAACUUUGUUUCUCUUAAGUUUAUUUCCUAUUUACCCAACUCAACACAGUUUGACAUUACUUGUACCGAAACCGAGCGUAUGUCCCAUUCAAGAAAACAUUGAGUGAUAUAUUUGGUAUAUUAGGUAUGCAAUUUCCUCUGGGUACGCGAAACCGAGCUUAUGUCCCAUCCAAGAAAACAAGAUGUUCCAAAGGCGGUAUGAAGUUUGCCGGGUCUGUUACUAAAUAAUUGCGAAUAUGUGAUGCUUCGUUCAUCGUUCUUAUAAGAUAUAGCUAAACAUUACAGAGGAUGCCAAAAGUUAAUCAACGAAAUGCGUACCUAUACGUCGUUCCUACACGAAUAUUUACACUUUGAUAAUACCUACUCGUCAACUCGUGUAGGUACAUCAAAAUCAGUUAUAUACAUAUCAAAUUAACUUUAUUAAACAAAAAUUCUGUCUUCACCAAAAAAAUAUCCAUAAUUGAUAAUCGGGUAAUAGAAAUACAUAUUAUUGUUAAUGCAAAAUUGACUGAUUAAAAAUAGUAUAUUGAAAGACAGGUGUUACAAUGCGAUCUAUUGUAAUACGACUAUC